UACGUAGGGGGCAAGCGUUGUCCGGAUUUAUUGGGCGUAAAGAGCGUGUAGGCGGCCAAACAGGUCAGCUGUGAAAACUCGAGGCUCAACCUCGAGACGUCGGUUGAAACCGUUUGGCUAGAGUCCGGAAGAGGAGAGUGGAAUUCCCGGUGUAGCGGUGAAAUGCGCAGAUAUCGGGAAGAACACCCGUGGCGAAGGCGGGUCUCUGGGCCGAUAUUGACGCUGAGGAGCGAAAGCGUGGUGAGCGAACAGG
rnacentral:rRNA from 1 species